rnacentral:rRNA from 1 species
AUUGAACGCUGGCGGCAUGCUUUACACAUGCAAGUCGAACGGUAACAGGCCGCAAGGUGCUGACGAGUGGCGAACGGGGGAGUAAUGCAUCGGAACGUGCCCAGUCGUGGGGGAUAACUACUCGAAAGAGUAGCUAAUACCGCAUACGAUCUAUGGAUGAAAGCGGGGGACCGUAAGGCCUCGCGCGAUUGGAGCGGCCGAUGUCAGAUUAGGUAGUUGGUGGGGUAAAGGCUCACCAAGCCAACGAUCUGUAGCUGGCCUGAGAGGACGACCAGCCACACUGGGACUGAGACACGGCCCAGACUCCUACGGGAGGCAGCAGUGGGGAAUUUUGGACAAUGGGCGCAAGCCUGAUCCAGCAAUGCCGCGUGCAGGAAGAAGGCCUUCGGGUUGUAAACUGCUUUUGUACGGAACGAAACGGCUCUGGUUAAUACCCGGGGCUAAUGACGGUACCGUAAGAAUAAGCACCGGCUAACUACGUG